rnacentral:rRNA from 1 species
CCCUGCGGGUGGCUACCAUGCAGCCGAGCGGUAGAGAUUCUUCGGGAUCUUGAGAGCGGCGUACGGGUGCGGAACACGUGUGCAACCUGCCUUUAUCAAGGGGAUAGCCUUUCGAAAGGAAGAUUAAUACCCUAUAAUAUAUGAUUCGGCAUCGGAUUAUAUUGAAAACUACGGUGGAUAAAGAUGGGCACGCGCAAGAUUAGCUAGUUGGUGAGGUAACGGCUCACCAAGGCGACGAUCUUUAGGGGGCCUGAGAGGGUGAUCCCCCACACUGGUACUGAGACACGGACCAGACUCCUACGGGAGGCAGCAGUGAGGAAUAUUGGACAAUGGGUGGAAGCCUGAUCCAGCCAUCCCGCGUGUAGGAAGACGGCCCUAUGGGUUGUAAACUACUUUUAUCUGGGGAUAAACCUACUUACGUGUAAGUAGCUGAAGGUACCAGAUGAAUAAGCACCGGCUAACUCCGUGCCAGAGCGCG